rnacentral:rRNA from 1 species
GACGAACGCUGGCGGCGUGCCUAACACAUGCAAGUCGAGCGAAUGAAGUUCCUUCGGGAAUGGAUUUAGCGGCGGACGGGUGAGUAACACGUGGGCAACCUGCCUCAUAGAGGGGAAUAGCCUUCCGAAAGGGGAGAUUAAUACCGCAUAAGAUUGUAGUACCGCAUGGUAUAGCAAUUAAAGGAGCAAUCCGCUAUGAGAUGGGCCCGCGGCGCAUUAGCUAGUUGGUGAGGUAACGGCUCACCAAGGCGACGAUGCGUAGCCGACCUGAGAGGGUGAUCGGCCACAUUGGGACUGAGACACGGCCCAGACUCCUACGGGAGGCAGCAGUGGGAAUAUUGCACAAUGGGGGAAACCCUGAUGCAGCAACGCCGCGUGAGUGAUGACGGCUC